rnacentral:rRNA from 1 species
UUAAAGUUAGUUAGGUAGGGGUAGUCUCGCCGAUAGAGGGGAGUAACUACUGGAAACGGUGGCUAAUACCGCAUAAUGUCUACGGACCAAAGCAGGGGCUCUUCGGACCUUGCACUAUCGGAUGAACCCAUAUGGGAUUAGCUAGUAGGUGGGGUAAAGGCUCACCUAGGCGACGAUCUCUAGCUGGUCUGAGAGGAUGAUCAGCCACACUGGGACUGAGACACGGCCCAG